rnacentral:rRNA from 1 species
AUUGAACGCUGGCGGCAGGCCUAACACAUGCAAGUCGAACGGUAACAGGGAUCAGCUUGCUGAUUCGCUGACGAGUGGCGGGCGGGUGAGUCAUGUCUGGGAUACUGCCUGAUGGAGGGGGAUAACUACUGGAAACGGUAACUACUACCGCAUAACGUCGCAAGCCCAAAGGGGGGGGCCUUGGGGCCGCUGGCCGUGAGGUGUUCCCGGGUGGGAUUGGCUAGGAGGGGGGGUAACGGCUCACCUAGGCGACGGGCCCUAGCUGGUCUGAGGGGAUGCCCGGCCACACUGGAACUGAGACACGGUCCAGACUCCUACGGGAGGCAGCAGAGGGGAAUAUUGCGCAACGGGCGGAAGCCUGAUGCAACCAUGCCGCGUGUAUGGAGAAGGCCUUCGGGUUGUAAAGUACUUUCAGCGGGGAGGAAGGGAGUAAAGUUAAUACCUAGGCUGAUUGACGUUACCCGCAGAAGAAGCACCGGCUAACUCCGUG